CUGCCUCAGGAUCUCUGAAGAGAAAAACCUUGAGGGAGGAGGGAGGGAAGGGCGAGUUAAACGACGACAUAAAAUGAGAAUAACUGAAAAACGAGAGGACAGACAGAUAAAACAAACAGAAAACUAAAUUAAAGAGGAAGGGUAAGGAGGUUUGCUUGGUUGUUGACGACAGCUCUCCUCACAUGAAGUGAAGCAGAAGGUCUCCUGAAGUCGCUAUUGUGGCGGUCAGAAGAUGACUGAGGGAGGUAAUCUGUGAGGGGCUAUAUGUGUGUCACCAAGGGGGUGAGGCUACUACCAAAAUGCUUACAGCUCACAGCUCUAGAAGGUUCUGAGGUCCUGUCUUCACAGGCACAGACAUCCAAAAUGUGAAGGACAAAGGACCACUAACAAGAAUCCACUUUGUCUAUUACCAUAGCACCAGAGAAAUAGAAAUCUGAGUCACUUCCAGUUCUGUUUUUCCUGUUGCACUGCAACACAUAAACCAACUUCUCUUCUGUUUAAGGAAUUGGUUCAGAAUACAGUUUAGAUAAUAAGCCUACCACCAGUUGAAAGUUUCCUACCUUUGACAACUACUGUUUGAAACCCAAUUUCUCUAGACUAGAAAGACCUUAUUUGCACUUUCACUAAAAAUAAAGUGGAUCUCUCGACAACAUUCAUUUAAGAUUGCUCUUAGUGGGAGAUUGCGUCUCCUUGACUUCAUUGACAGAAACACAAAGCAAGUAAUAUUCAGGUCAUCAUACGAUGCUGAGCAAUUAUAGUGAGUUUCUCCAGAAGCCCUCGUAAUCGUUCCUGCGUAGCAUGGGAGAUCAAGUUCAGAACAUCCGAAUUAACUUCCGUAAUGUCAUGCCUUUUACCUGUGGAGAUCAUCGUAUGGAGAAUAGAACGACCUCUACCAGGACAUAGAAGUCAGCCAUACAUGGUUAAACAGCUGUGGUUGUCUUUGGCCUUGGUGGCUUCAGUUGCAAUCACCAAGUUAUGAACAACCGGCCUGUCAAUCCCCAGCCAAGCAGCAUAGUCAGGGAGGAUCUACCUCUCUCUAUAGCAUAGCCCAAUCGUCUUCUGUAAGGCAUCUGAAGAAAGGAGAGGUUCCUCUGGACAAGACUGAAUAAGUGUGCCAACUGUUUCAGAAUUGGUUGCUAAAAUGCAUGCAUUCUCUUCGCUCAGAUUCACCCCAGCCAUACUAGUGAAGGCAACACACUAUGACAGUAUUUAAAUACAGCUUGGAGGAGCCCAGUGAAGAGGUAUGAUGCUGACUGAGCCAAUUUGUGAUUUGAACUGAUUUGAAGAGUGAGCAGGCUACAAGCACUUUGUAAAGGGCUGGAAGAAUUAGACAAGGAAGAUGACUCCCCCUCUCCUUUGCCUGUUUCUGGAAGGAUUUAGAGCACCUGCUUUGUGGCGGAGAUUUAUCAAGCAUGCCUUGGAACCAUUCUUGCCAGGCAGUUGGAACCUCCACUGGUAUGGAGAUGCUUGAAGCGACAUAAUUUUGUUUCCUGGCAGGGUAAUUUGUUUCACAAUAGAACCUAAAAGAUGAACAAUCCCACAGCAAUGAGCAAAAUCUAAGAUGACAUUCAAUACAUACUCUGAAGAAAAAUCUGUGAGCAUGUGUCCCAUUUUUAAAUGAAAGCGGCAUGUGUGUGUCAAAGUUACCAAUCCACUCUUCAGUUGCAUUGUCUGGAUGGCUCUUUUACUAGGACAAGGACAACUUUGCCUUUUUACUGGGGAGUGCUGAAGACGGUUGAGGGGUGGUUACUUUUUUCAAGAUGCUUCCAGAUGGCUGCUGGACUAUCUGGAAAAAAGUUACAUCAGAACAAACUAAAGGUAAACAUUAAAAAAACAGAGUGAAGCAACAUAAGCAAUCACAACUGCAAAGCACCCGUGCCUAUCUUUAAGAUAAACCACAUUUUCAUACAUUCAAAUACUUGAACUGUGGACAAGAAGUCUUUCAAUUCAAGUUUGUAGCUAAAAUUAACAUGUCCAAACAGCUUCAAAAUCUGACCAACACCUUGGCAACGUCAAGCAGCAGCAAACAUUUUACUCUACUGUGCUUUAGAUAAACAUUGCCUUUUAAUGGUGUUUUUAAAUUGCUAUUUUUUAACAAAUUUAUUGUUGGUGUAUUUGUGGUUUUGUUUUGUUUUAUAAUGAGACACAGUACAGUUUCUGUAGAAAGGCAGGACAUAUUGUAAUAUUUGUGCACUAUACAGUUUGUCCUCCUAGUGUCAGAUUAAAUCAAAGUGAAAUCACAGGGAACUACUGACAAGAUUCAAAAAAACAAGUAUUGGAAGCAGUUUUGCCUUGUUUCACAGUUACACUGUAGAUCUCCACUCUGUGUGUAUUUAGUAAUAAGAUUAUUUACAGUUCACAAGAUAAAGUUUAAAUCUAACUUUUCUCCUGCUGUUAUACCAACGAUUACCAAUAAAAUACUACUGUGGUGAA